rnacentral:rRNA from 1 species
CCUACGGGAGGCAGCAGUGGGGAAUAUUGGACAAUGGGCGAAAGCCUGAUCCGGCCAUGCCGCGUGUGUGAAGAAGGUCUUCGGAUUGUAAAGCACUUUAAGUUGGGAGGAAGGGCAGUUACCUAAUACGUAUCUGUUUUGACGUUACCGACAGAAUAAGCACCGGCUAACUCUGUGCCAGCAGCCGCGGUAAU